GCAAAAGUCUUCCUCUUGCGUUUCUGGAAUACUUCGUUAACUCAUGCACCAUCAAGCGCCGUCCCACAUGCCGAGGGAAUCAUCCAUGUGAACGAUGACCGCCGCGACGUAUGACUAUGGCCGUAUGGCCACACAAGGGACGACGCCACCGCCGACAGGGCGGCGCUGGUGCCUUAUGCGAGUUAGCUCCGCACGGGGGAAUGAACGCCGGUUUUUUCCUGAAAAUCCCUCUUACGGAUCACCGCCUUCAACCCUGUUCUUUGGUGUACAUUUAGACUCGGGCUUAUUUGAUGCAUGCGCGGGUCGACAGUGUACAUGAGACAAUCACAUAUUAUCCCGAACGCU